UGGAGCUUUCUCUACAGAUACUAGAACACCUGCACAGGUGGAGCUUUCUCUAUGGCUUCUACAACACCUGCACAGUUGGAGCUUUCUCUACAGAUACUAGAACACCUGCAUAGGUGGAGCUUUCUCUAUGGCUUCUACAACACCUGCACAGUUGGAGCUUUCUCUACAGAUACUAGAACACCUGCAUAGGUGGAGCUUUCACUAUGGCUACUACAACACCUGCACAGGUGGAGCUUUCUCUAUGGCUUCUACAACACCUGCACAGUUGGAGCUUUCUCUACAGAUACUAGAA